UCCAGUUCAUCUGGAAAUGUGGCAAAUUACAUGGGUCAGAUGGCCAUGGCCAUGGGCAAGCUAGGGACCCUUGAGGGGUUCAUUCGCCAGGUAAUUGUUUGUAAUGCCACUCUGUGUACAUUUUUCAGUAAUAUGAAUAUGCAUCAGCUCUAAAAUCCAUUUUAGCAUUAAUAGUUUUAGCAAUUUUAAAUCUCUGGGAAUAAAAAUUAGCAUUCCCGGAUUGAUAUUUGAUUUAGGAACUUUAGGAUUUGAUAUUUGAACUUUAUAAAUGACUUAUCUUCCAGCAAUCUAGUUCGUAAGAUCUCACUAGUAUUCUAUACAAGCUGUAUGCGAAAUAUUGAAUAUCCUUGAAUAUGUUCCUUUCAUUGGGUCUUGUGUUUUCUCUUGCCUCUUUGUGUCUCAAAAGAAUCUGUUUUCUUUUGAUGGAUUUUAAACAUCAGGCUGACAAUUUGC
rnacentral:misc_RNA from 1 species